UUUGACUAUACGAAGGUAUUGAAAUAAGAUUUUAAAUGAGUGCUAAGAGAAUGAUUAAACAAUUAAAAGCUUUCUUUAAUUGAAUAAUUGAAUUUAAUUUUUUAGUGCAAAAGCAAAAAUAAAAAUUAGGGACAAGAAGACCCUAUGAAUUUUUUAUUAAAUUUUAUAAAAAGUUUUAUAAAAUUUAAUUUAAUUGGGGUGAUGGAAAAAGAAUAAAUAUCUUUUUUUUUAAAGAAAAUUGGUUCCGUUUUUAGCGAUUAAAUGAAAAAAAUACUCUAGGGAUAACAGCGUAAUAAUUUUGGAUAGUUCAUAUAGAUAAAAUAGUUUGCGACCUCGAUGUUGGAUUAGGAU
rnacentral:rRNA from 1 species